rnacentral:rRNA from 1 species
UACGUAGGGUGCAAGCGUUGUCCGGAAUUAUUGGGCGUAAAGAGCUCGUAGGCGGUCUGUCGCGUCGGCUGUGAAAUCCCGGAGCUCAACUCCGGGUCUGCAGUCGAUACGGGCAUGCUGGAGUGCGGCAGGGGAGACUGGAAUUCCUGGUGUAGCGGUGGAAUGCGCAGAUAUCAGGAGGAACACCGGUGGCGAAGGCGGGUCUCUGGGCCGUUACUGACGCUGAGGAGCGAAAGCGUGGGGAGCGAACAGG